UGUCUAUGCCCUCCUUGGGCGUUUCCUCCCUAGACUUCGGCCGCCUACGGGCGGUCUUUUUUUGUCCGCU
rnacentral:sRNA from 1 species